UACGGGGGGGGCAAGCGUUGUUCGGAAUUACUGGGCGUAAAGAGCUCGUAGGCGGUGUGUCGCGUCGGCCGUGAAAACCUGGGGCUUAACUCUGGGCGUGCGGUCGAUACGGGCAUCACUAGAGUUCGGCAGGGGAGACUGGAAUUCCUGGUGUAGCGGUGAAAUGCGCAGAUAUCAGGAGGAACACCGGUGGCGAAGGCGGGUCUCUGGGCUGUAACUGACGCUGAGGAGCGAAAGCAUGGGGAGCGAACAGG
rnacentral:rRNA from 1 species